GAAAAGGCGAGGUAAGAGCUCACCAUCAGUCCGGGCAACCGGCUGAUUGGCAAACCCCAUCCGGAGCAAGAUCAAACAGAGGUUUGGCUCGCCCGGCCGAUACCUCGGGUAGAUCGCAUGAAACAAUCGGCGACGAUUGUUCAAGACAGAUGGCCAGUUUAACAGAAUUCGGCUUAUGAUCUGCCCACAAAA
rnacentral:RNase_P_RNA from 1 species